rnacentral:tRNA from 1 species
GCUCCUUAUUGCUCAGACAGGAGAGAGCACACGCAUAUAAGGCGUGAUAUCGCUGGUUCGAAUCCAGGAGGGAGUA